GAUUUCUGACUUGAAACAAUUAGCCGGCCGCGGUUUCGCGUGUUAGUGUUAGUUGUUCUGGUCAUCCUUCCAAUUGCUAUUCAUCUUUCUUCAUUGAUGGGUGAGUGGUAUUGGAUCUUUUACUUUGAAAAAAUUAGAGUGUUUCAAGCAGGCAUGUUUUGCUAUGAAUACAUUAGCAUGGAAUAAUAAUCUAGGACUUUCGGUUCUAUUUUGUUGGUGUUCUGGAGCUGAAGUAAUGAUUGAUAGGGAUAGUUGGGGGUGCUAGUAUUCAAUGGCCAGAGGUGAAAUUCUCGGAUUCCUUGAAGACUAACUUAUGCGAAAGCAUU
rnacentral:rRNA from 1 species